UAAACUGAAGAGUUUGAUCAUGGCUCAGAUUGAACGCUGGCGGCAGGCUUAACACAUGCAAGUCGAGCGGGGAAAGGUAGCUUGCUACCUGACCUAGCGGCGGACGGGUGAGUAAUGCUUAGGAAUCUGCCUAUUAGUGGGGGACAACAUUCCGAAAGGAAUGCUAAUACCGCAUACGUCCUACGGGGGAAAGCAGGGGAUCUUCGGACCUUGCGCUAAUAGAUGAGCCUAAGUCGGAUUAGCUAGUUGGUGGGGUAAAGG
rnacentral:rRNA from 1 species